UAUGUACUCCCUCCGUCCGGAAAUACUUGUCAUCAAAAUGGAUAAACGGAGAUGUAUCUAGACGUAUUUUAGUUCUAGAUACAUCCUCUUUUAUCCAUUUUGAUGACAAGUAUUUCCGGACGGAGGGAGUAUAUG
rnacentral:pre_miRNA from 1 species